rnacentral:tRNA from 1 species
GCCAGCGUAGCUCAGUCGGUUAGAGCGUAGCACUCAUAACGCUAAGGUCACAGGUUCGAUUCCUGUCGCUGGCA